AGGAGUAUAGUUAAAUAUAAUAUUUGGUUUGCACCUAAAAGGUACUCAAGAGUUACUCUUA
rnacentral:tRNA from 1 species